UAAAAGUUACUCUAGGGAUAACAGGCUGAUCUCCUCCAAGAGUUCACAUCGACGAGGAGGUUUGGCACCUCGAUGUCGGCUCAUCGCAUCCUGGGGCUGAAGCCGGUCCCAAGGGUUCGGCUGUUCGCCGAUGAAAGCGGUACGUGAGCUGGGUUUAGAACGUCGUGAGACAGUUCGGUUCCUCUCCUCCGCGGGGGACCACAAGGGCGGAGCGCUCCUUCCAGUACGAGAGGACCGAAGGGGAUCAACCUCUGGUGCACCGGUUGUCGCCCCCGCGGCAGCGCCGGGUAGCUACGUUGGUCGCGGGCCACCGCUGAAAGCAUCUCAAGCGGGCACCCGCCUCCUGCACCACUUGUGCCGCACGUGCACGACGCGCACGUCGAUAGGCGCCCCGUGGACCCCCCGCAAGGGGCGAAGCCGAGGCGUACUAAGCGAU
rnacentral:rRNA from 14 species